rnacentral:rRNA from 1 species
CUGCUGCCUCCCGUAGGAGUCUGGCCGUGUCUCAGUCCCAAUGUGGCCGUCCGCCUCUCAGGCCGGCUACUGAUCGUCGCCUUGGUGGGCCGUUACCCCGCCAACUGGCUAAUCAGACGCGGAUCCAUCGUAUACCGCCGGAGCCUUUCACACUGUCCCAUGCGGGACCGUGCGCUUAUGCGGUAUUAGCACCUGUUUCCAGGUGUUAUCCCCCUGUAUACGGCAGGUUAUCCACGCGUUACUCACCCGUCCGCCA